UUUCACCACUUUGUGUGUCCAAGGACCACCUACUUUUUACAUGUGACAAGAACUACCCACCUCCACUCUUCAGAACAUGCUGAAGAAAAGAGUUGCAAUGAGAAAAUAUAUGGGAACAAAAUACCUGUGCAAUGCAGAGGUCUGCAUAACUGAACCACUCAGAGGAAAAAAAUUGCCAUUUCAGGACACCUCCUACAUCUGAAGAAAUAUGCAUUGAUCUUGCAGAACUUUUCUCCUCCAAAUAAAAGUCAGUAUGAUAACAACUACACUAUCAGAA
rnacentral:lncRNA from 1 species